CGGGCAUGCUCACAGGGACUGCCAUUGCAGCUGUCCCUGGGGUGGAACCUGAGGGCUUCUGGAGGCUCAGUUCUUCACAGACAGGACCACACGGGUGCCAUGGACCACAGGGGCAGAGCAUUGUAAUUUGCAAGUAUGAAUUUGCAGGGGAUCCUGGCCUCCAUGUCUAAUUAAUUAUCAGCACCCUGUAUUUUACCAAUGAAAUGUUUCUUGCCUCUCUCCUCAUCCUCAGAAGCACCCAUUGCUCAUGACCGGACAGGCUCUUGGAGUAACUCUAACUGGUUUCCUCAUACCCAGUUCCUCCCAGCUCCUGGGAACUCCCAGCUCCUCCACCUGGCCACCAGCCUCCAAACCCUGGCUUCCCCCGACCUUCCUGUCCCUCUGGGAUGAGUCUGAUGACAGUAACUCAGAAAUUGAGGCUGCUUUACGCCCCAGAAACCAUAACACCGAUGAUUCU
rnacentral:lncRNA from 1 species